rnacentral:rRNA from 1 species
GUCGAACGGAACCUUCGGGUUUAGUGGCGGACGGGUGAGUAACGCGUGAGAAUCUGCCUCUAGGUCGGGGACAACAACUGGAAACGGUUGCUAAUACCCGAUGUGCAGCAAUGUGAAAGAUUUAUUGCCUAGAGAUGAGCUCGCGUCUGAUUAGCUAGUAGGUGUGGUAAUGGCGCACCUAGGCGACGAUCAGUAACUGGUCUGAGAGGAUGACCAGUCACACUGGGACUGAGACACGGCCCAGACUCCUACGGGAGGCAGCAGUGGGGAAUUUUCCGCAAUGGGCGAAAGCCUGACGGAGCAAUACCGCGUGAGGGACGAAGGCUUUUGGGUCGUAAACCUCUUUUCCCUGAGAAGAAGAUCUGACGGUAUCAGGGGAAUCAGCAUCGGCUAACUUCGUGCCAGCAGCCGCGGUAAUACGAGGGAUGCAAGCGUUAUCCGGAAUUAUUGGGCGUAAAGCGUCCGCAGGUGGCUCUGUAAGUCUGUCGUUAAAGAAUGGGGCUCAACCCCAUACAGGCGAUGGAAACUACAAGGCUAGAGUUUGGUAGGGGUCACGGGAAUUCUUAGUGUAGCGGUGAAAUGCGUAGAUAUUAAGAAGAACACCAGCGGCGAAAGCGCGUGACUGGGCCAGUACUGACACUCAUGGACGAAAGCUAGGGGAGCGAAAGGGA